CUCUCCGAUGCAGAAAGAGCCGGAAAAGCCAGGCGAAGCUGGCUCCAGGCUGCAUGACCACAGCUUCUCUUCUUUUUCUCCCACCCCAUUCCAAAGCUGGGGCAAGGAUGCCUCCGGCCCUGAGGGCACAGCCUUCUGCGGGCAGGGCAGGGGCCAGGGCAGUAAGGGGCUGGUGGGAGUCAUGGGGAAAGAGGGGAAUUGGAAGCCCUGAUGACCCAGCCAGCUAACACACAUCAUUCAUUCCAUCACCGCUGCUGUGGUCAGACGUUUGAUGAUGAGACUUCUGCCUCCCACUUGGACAUCUUCAGGGCCAAGCCUCCAAAGAUGCUUCUGUCUCUGCAAAGGUCAAGGUUUCAGCCUUCAAGAUGCCCAGUGUCUCCUCCCUCAAGAAUCUCCUCAAAUCACCUCUCCCAGAGGAUGUCAAGCCUUCCUAUGUUUAUUUUUACACCAACAGGAUUACUGAAUUUUUAACUACCAAAAUAAAACAGUAAAUUCAAAAUAAAAAGCUUUUAAAAAAUAAUAAAAUACAUUUUUAAAAACGACUAAAAAGGGAAAAAAAACAGGAAAACUAAAAAUAGCAUUAGAAGGAAAUCUACUCCCAAUGCUCAGCUUCUAUCUCGCUUGGACAGAAGUUAUGGCAAUGCUGGGAAGAGACUUUGUUGCGGUUAUGGGACAAACCAGAGGUCUUCUCCACCCAAGUACUUCAGACAUCUAGGCCACUGGACACCCACUCCAAAGGGGUCACAGAGGUCACACCACCAGCCAAGCUGACAUGCGAGAGCAGAGUCAGCAAACCCUUCCUGAAACAGGCCAGAUAGAAAAUCAGAUCAGAAACAUUUUAGCCCAGGGAUUCUCACUAGGGAUGAUUCUGCCCCCAAGGGACACUGGGUGAUACCUGGAGUUAUUUUUCAUUGUCACAACUGGAGGGGUGCUUCUGACUUCUAGUUAGUAGGGGGCAAGCAUGCUGCUAACAUCCUACAAUGCACAGUGUGGCACCCAACGCCCCCAUACACACACAAAACAGAAUUUUCCAACCCAAAUGUCAGUAGCACCAAGACUUAUAAAUCUUGUACAACAACAACAAAACACUUAGCUCCUGGUCAAACAAGCUACAGGCCAUAAUUUGCCCUAGAGAGUGCUAGCAGUGCCUGCAAGGCCCACAAAGACCACACUCCGGAGGAAGCCAAGAGCUCUGAGGUCACACAAACCACUUAGCAAGUCCUUCACCCAGGGAUCAGGGGAACCAAUCUACCUAUACCUCAAGGCAGAAAGCAGGGUUCUCCAAGGGACAAGAAUCUCCUUGUCCAUCCACCUAUUAAGCUCUACCCACGCUUUCCAGCCCACUUACAACCUUAAAUCUGUGAGAUAGG
rnacentral:lncRNA from 1 species